CGUAACAAGGUCUCCGUAGGUGAACCUGCGGAGGGAUCAUUACAAGAACGCCCGGGCUUCGGCCUGGUCAUUCAUAACCCUUUGUUGUCCGACUCUGUUGCCUCCGGGGCGACCCUGCCUUCGGGCGGGGGCUCCGGGUGGACACUUCAAACUCUUGCGUAACUUUGCAGUCUGAGUAAACUUAAUUAAUAAAUCAAAACUUUUAACAACGGAUCUCUUGGUUCUGGCAUCGAUGAAGAACGCAGCGAAAUGCGAUAAGUAAUGUGAAUUGCAGAGUUCAGUGAAUCAUCGAAUCUUUGAACGCACAUUGCGCCCCCUGGUAUUCCGGGGGGCAUGCCUGUUCGAGCGUCAUUUCACCACUCAAGCCUCGCUUGGUAUUGGGCAACGCGGUCCGCCGCGUGCCUCAAAUCGUCCGGCUGGGUCUUCUGUCCCCUAAGCGUUGUGGAAACUAUUCGCUAAAGGGUGUUCGGAAGGCUACGCCGUAAAACAACCCCAUUUCUAAGGUUGACCUCGGAUCAGGUAGGGAUACCCGCUGAACUUAAGCAUAUCA
rnacentral:rRNA from 1 species